GAAAUUACUCUCAAAUCUCAAUUGCUCGAGCGAAUCUCUCAGUGAUUAAUCUCUCAGCUCUCAAUCUCUCAGCGCUCAAUCCCUCAACGCCCUAUCAAUCUCAAUCUCCCAGGUAGGUGCUGCUCUCUCUCCGGGCUGUAGAACUAGGCUCUCUCUCCGGGCUGUGUUCAAUCUCUCCCGCCGAAUCUCUCAGCUCUCUCUCAAUCUAAAUCUCUCAGGGGCUCAAUUUCAAUCGCUGGGUCUGCUACAAACUAGGGUUCUUUCCUCGAUUGAUUGUAUCUCUUUGCUGGGUUUUUUGGUCGGCUGCAAAACAAGGGUUACUGGUCCAAGGACAAAUCAAACUUGUAACUCGUGGAGCAUUGAGCUUUGGGCUAGCAUAUUAUUCUUUAUCAAGUGUCCUCAACAACAAGGAGGUACAGAGUGUGGUUUAUUUGUUAUGAGGUACAUGCAUGAAAUAUUCCUGCUUUCUCAAAAAAAUCCUAAUACCAAUUGGAAAGAGGGCCUUGGUUCAAGAAGGUAUUUAAAGAAGGAACUCAAUGAGGUUCGGGAACUGUGGGCUGAGUUUUUUACAGUUGAAUGUCUAUAAUGAGAUAGUUGACAGACUUUAAUGGCCACUACAAGCUUUUUAGUGGUAAGGACGAGAGCGAAGACUGAGGCAGCUGACUUAUUACUACGUAUUGAUUUCAUAAUUUUUAGUGUGGACAUGUAAUUUGACAAGAAGAAUUAUGGGUUGUAAUACAUUUAAUUUUAAUGUACAUUGAUUAAUUCCAAGUUAA